rnacentral:rRNA from 1 species
AUUGAACGCUGGCGGAAUGCUUUACACAUGCAAGUCGAACGGCAGCACGGGGGCAACCCUGGUGGCGAGUGGCGAACGGGUGAGUAAUACAUCGGAACGUGCCCAGUCGUGGGGGAUAACGUAGCGAAAGUUACGCUAAUACCGCAUACGAUCUACGGAUGAAAGCGGGGGACCGUAAGGCCUCGCGCGAUUGGAGCGGCCGAUGUCAGAUUAGGUAGUUGGUGAGGUAAAGGCUCACCAAGCCGACGAUCUGUAGCUGGUCUGAGAGGACGACCAGCAACACUGGGACUGGGCCACGGCCCAGACUCCUACGGGAGGCAGCAGUGGGGAAUUUUGGACAAUGGGCGCAAGCCUGAUCCUGCCAUUCCGCGUGCAGGACGAAGGCCUUCGGGUUGUAAACUGCUUUUGUACGGAACGAAAAGGCUCUGGUUAAUACCUGGGGCUCAUGACGGUACCGUAAGAAUAAGCACCGGCUAACUACGUGCCAGCCGCCGCAGUAA